UUGUAAAUAAAAUAUUAGUUUUCUAAUGAAAGAAACGAAUAUGUUGACACAAUUAUAUUUUUUAUCUACAACACCGAUUUCACACAUUUAAUCACACACCUUCAGAUCAAAAGGUUUUUAAGAUCAUGAGAAACAUUUCAGUCCAGUGUCCACAAACUUUUGACCGGUAGUGUAUGUGUACCGUUAAUCUGAUAUCUUUUCUACAUUUGUAAAGAACUAGAUAGAUAGAGAGAGAGGAUACAGUAAACACUACAGCUUGAAGAAGUACAUUAAUGUCAUUUUUUAAAAAUUACACAUCAUAAAGUAUAAAUUUUACAUAACAUCCUUCUUCUACCGCAGGCUUAUUUCUAUUGCAGAAAAUUAUGUAGGUGUCACAUGUAUUUGUAAAGAAUUGUGGUUAUUAACUAGCUCACACAGACACAGAAUCACAUUUCUGAAGUGAUAAGAUCAAAAAGUAUUCAUGCUACUUAUUUUAGUUUCAUUUAGUUUCAGGAACGGCAGAAGGCAGCACGUUGUCCGACCGCUGUAGCCCGAGGUUUCCUCACACGCCGACUUCUCCAGACCGAGAACAUCAAACACCUGAGCAAAACCAUUCAGGACUCCAGAGAGGUCAUUGGUUUUUUCCAGGAGGAUACACACCAGAGGAGAGCUUCCUUCACUAUACAGGAACUCAAACUGCAGCACAGAGUCAGAGCACAGCUGCAUGCAGCCAUGUGUGGUGUGCAUAAGAUCUUUUUUGUGUGGCCUGUGAGAGACAGAAUAGCUUUACUGCAACAGGACCGAAAGCUGCACAGUGAGCCGAGGGUGAAAAAACAGGUACACACA